rnacentral:rRNA from 1 species
ACUGAGCACGGUCCAAAACUCCUACGGGAGGCAGCAGUGGGGAAUCUUCCGCAAUGGGCGCAAGCCUGACGGAGCAAACGCCGCGUGAGUGAAGAAGGGUUUCGACUCGUAAAGCUCUGUUGUCGGGGACGAAUGUGGAGAUGGUGAAUAACCAUUUUCAAUGACGGUACCUGACGAGGAAGCCACGGCUAACUACGUGC